rnacentral:rRNA from 1 species
AUUGAACGCUGGCGGCAGGCUUAACACAUGCAAGUCGAACGGUAACAUAAAGGAGCUUGCUUCUUUGAUGACGAGUGGCGGACGGGUGAGUAAUGCUUGGGAAUCUAGCUUAUGGAGGGGGAUAACUACGGGAAACUGUAGCUAAUACCGCGUAGUAUCGGGAGAUGAAAGUGUGGGACCUUCGGGCCACAUGCCAUAGGAUGAGCCCAAGUGGGAUUAGGUAGUUGGUGAGGUAAAGGCUCACCAAGCCGACGAUCUCUAGCUGGUCUGAGAGGAUGACCAGCCACACUGGGACUGAGACACGGCCCAGACUCCUACGGGAGGCAGCAGUGGGGAAUAUUGCGCAAUGGGGGCAACCCUGACGCAGCCAUGCCGCGUGAAUGAAGAAGGCCUUCGGGUUGUAAAGUUCUUUCGGUAGCGAGGAAGGCAUUUAGUUUAAUAGACUAGGUGAUUGACGUUAACUACAGAAGAAGCACGGCUA